rnacentral:rRNA from 1 species
UACGUAGGGUGCGAGCGUCGUCCGGAAUUAUUGGGCGUAAAGAGCUCGUAGGCGGUCUGUCGCGUCGGUCGUGAAAACUUGGGGCUUAACCCUGAGCUUGCGGUCGAUACGGGCAUGACUGGAGUUCGGCAGGGGAGACUGGAAUUCCUGGUGUAGCGGUGAAAUGCGCAGAUAUCAGGAGGAACACCGGUGGCGAAGGCGGGUCUCUGGGCCGAUACUGACGCUGAGGAGCGAAAGCGUGGGGAGCGAACAGG